CAUUAAGAAGCUAAAUAGCACUAACCUUUUAAGUUAGAGAUUGGAGGAUUACAGCCUCCCUUAAUGA
rnacentral:tRNA from 1 species